rnacentral:rRNA from 1 species
ACACUGUUCAUGGGUUACCGCGGCUGCUGGCACGGAGUUAGCCGGUGCUUCUUCUGUGAGUGAUGUCCUUCCUGCCGGCUAUUAACCCGCAGGCCUUCUUCCUCACUGAAAGUGCUUUACAACCCGAAGGCCUUCUUCACACACGCGGCAUGGCUGGAUCAGGGUUGCCCCCAUUGUCCAAUAUUCCCCACUGCUGCCUCCCGUAGGAGUCUGGGCCGUGUCUCAGUCCCAGUGUGGCUGAUCAUCCUCUCAGACCAGCUACGGAUCGUCGCCUUGGUGAGCCGUUACCUCACCAACCAGCUAAUCCGACAUAGGCUCAUCCGAUAGCGCGAGGCCCGAAGGUCCCCCGCUUUCCCCCGUAGGGCGUAUGCGGUAUUAGCCUGGGUUUCCCCAGGUUAUCCCCACUACCGGGCAGAUUCCUAUGCAUUACUCACCCGUCCGCCGCUCGCCACCAGGGAGCAAGCUCCCCGUGCUGCCGCUCGACUUGCAUGUGUUAGGCCUGCCGCCAGCGUUCAAUCU